AAGUCGUAACAAGGUUUCCGUAGGUGAACCUGCGGAAGGAUCAUUAAUUGUACAACGAGGUUGUAGAAGGGACUGUCAGCUGACCUUUCAAAGGUCGUGCACGCCCAAGCACUUUCAUACAAUCCAUCUCACCCCUUUGUGCAUCACCGCGUUGGGUCCCCUUUGCGGGAGGGCUCACGUUUUCACACAAAACUCGAUACAGUGUAGAAUGUUCUUUUGCGAUCACACGCAAUCAAUACAA
rnacentral:misc_RNA from 1 species